rnacentral:rRNA from 1 species
UUAUUGUCUUACUUUUUUUAUUUUUUGUUGUUUUUUGUUUUCUCUAAAAUAUUUUAUUUUGUUGUUGUAUAAUUUUUAGAUUUGAUUUUUUUGGUUAUAGUUUAUUAGUACUGUAGGGGGUUGGUUUAUAUUUGCUUUUAUAAGUUUAUUUUUUUUGUUGUACCUUGUGUAUCAGGGCCUAUUUAAUUUUAUUAUCUAUUUUUUGUAUUUCCCGAUUUUGAAUGAGUUAAUGAUUUAUUUUAGUUGCUGUUGCAUAAGCAUUAAAAAUAUUUUGUUGGCAAUGAGAUGUUUUCGUUUUCAAUGAUAUCUGGUUUUUCAGGAAAUGAAUUUAAUUCAUGUAUUUAGUUUAAAUGUUUUUAUUCUAAUUUUUUUUUACUGGAUGCAAAUGCCUUGGGGGAUAAGCUCUGGGGUUUAUUUCUUAUAAAUUUUUUUUUCUUUUUAUUACAUUUUUGUGGGUUUUAUGGUAAUCAUCUUUUUAAGUGUGUUCAAAUUUUAUUGUAUAUGGUUUUUUAUUUAUAUUUACUUUUAGGUUUUUUACUGGAAUUUUUUUUGUAAUUUUUUAUUUGUGGUAAUUAUGAUUGGAUUAGUAUAUAUUUUUUCUUUGUUUUGUUUUAAUGUUUUGUUAAUUUCUUUUGAGGAAUUAGGCAAAUUUAGUUGUGUCCGCCUGUUUAACAAAAACUACUCCUCUUGUUAUUUUUUUUGAGGUAGGGCCUGCCCGCUGAAUUUUUUUUGAAGGGCCGCGGUACUUUGACCGUGCAAAGGUAGCAUAAUCAUUAGUCUUUUAAUUGUGGGCUGGUAUGAAUGGUUUGACGAGAUGCAAUCUGUCUUUUUUGGAUUUUUUAUUGAAUUUGGGUUUUAAGUAAGAAUACUUAAAUUUUUUUGUGGGACGAGAAGACCCUAUAGAGUUUUACAUGCAAGGUUUUACUUUUUGUUUGUUUUAUUUUUGGUAGUGUUUUGCUUGUUUUAUUGGGGCGAUAGGAGGAUUUGCUAAACUCCUCUUUUUUUUGUUUUAUUGAUUUAUAUUUUUUUGAUCCUUUAUUAUUGAUUUUAAGAUUAAAUUACCUUAGGGAUAACAGCGUUAUCUUCCUUGAAAGUUCUUAUUGACAGGGGGGUUUGCGACCUCGAUGUUGGAUUAAGGUGAAUUUUUGGUGUAGGAGCUAAAUUUUUAUUAGGUCUGUUCGACCUUUAAAACCUUACAUGAUCUGAGUUCAAACCGGUGUGAGCCAGGUUGGUUUCUAUCUACAAUUUUGGUUUAGUAGUUUAGUACGAAAGGACCAAUUACUAGGAAUAAUUCUUUUUUUUGUGAUUUUCAUUAAUUUUU